ACGCAAUCCCUGUGCUACGGUGCAGUCGGACGGAUCCAUGCUGAAACCUAGUGAUGCAUGGAUUAGUGGCGGACGGGUGAGUAACGCGUGGAUAACCUGCCGUAUACUGGGGGAUAACACUUAGAAAUAGGUGCUAAUACCGCAUAAGCGCACAGUCUCGCAUGAGACGGUGUGAAAAACUCCGGUGGUAUACGAUGGAUCCGCGUCUGAUUAGCUUGUUGGCGGGGUAACAGCCCACCAAGGCGACGAUCAGUAGCCGGCCUGAGAGGGUGAACGGCCACAUUGGGACUGAGACACGGCCCAAACUCCUACGGGAGGCAGCAGUGGGGAAUAUUGCACAAUGGGGGAAACCCUGAUGCAGCGACGCCGCGUGAGUGAAGAAGUACCCCGGUACGUAAAGCUCUAUCAGCAGGGAAGAAAAUGACGGUACCUGACCAAGAAGCCCCGGCUAACUACGUGCCAGCAGCCGCGGUAAUACGUAGGGGGCAAGCGUUAUCCGGAUUUACUGGGUGUAAAGGGAGCGUAGACGGCAGCGCAAGUCUGGAGUGAAAUCCCGGGGCUCAACCCCGGAACUGCUUUGGAAACUGCGCGGCUCGAGUGCAGGAGGGGCAGGCGGAAUUCCUAGUGUAGCGGUGAAAUGCGUAGAUAUUAGGAGGAACACCAGUGGCGAAGGCGGCCUGCUGGACUGUAACUGACGUUGAGGCUCGAAAGCGUGGGGAGCAAACAGGAUUAGAUACCCUGGUAGUCCACGCCGUAAACGAUGAUUACUAGGUGUCGGGGGAUCAAGGUCCUCCGGUGCCGGCGCAAACGCAUUAAGUAAUCCACCUGGGGAGUACGUUCGCAAGAAUGAAACUCAAAGGAAUUGACGGGGACCCGUCACAAGUGGGUGGGAGCAUGUGGUUUAAUUCGAAGCACCGCGAAGGACUCUUACCUGGGUCUUGACAUCCCGGUGACGCAUGGGCAAUGCCAUGUUUUCCCUCGGGACCACCGGGAGACAGU
rnacentral:rRNA from 1 species